rnacentral:tRNA from 1 species
GCAUCAGUAGCUCAGUGGAUAGAGCAAUGGCCUCCGGAGCCAUGUGGGGAGGUUCGAUUCCUCUCUGGUGCA